rnacentral:miRNA from 1 species
UUGGUGCAAAAGUGAUUGCGGUUUUUGGACAUUACUUUUAAUGGCAAAAACUGCAAUCACUUUCGCACCUACCUAAUA